GGGGUUGUGGCUCAGUGGCAGAGCGCUUGCCUCAUGUGUGUGAGGCACUGGGUUCAAUUCUCAGCACCA
rnacentral:tRNA from 1 species